GACGAACGCUGGCGGCGUGCUUAACACAUGCAAGUCGAACGGAAAGGCCCUGCUUUUGUGGGGUGCUCGAGUGGCGAACGGGUGAGUAACACGUGAGUAACCUGCCCUUGACUUUGGGAUAACUUCAGGAAACUGGGGCUAAUCCCGGAUAGGAGCUCCUGCUGCUUGGUGGGGGUUGGAAAGUUUCGGCGGUUGGGGAUGGACUCGCGGCUUAUCAGCUUGUUGGUGGGGUAUUGGCUUACCAAGGCUUUGACGGGUAGCCGGCCUGAGAGGGUGACCGGCCACAUUGGGACUGGGAUACGGCCCAGACUCCUCCGGGGGGCAGCAGUGGGGAAUAUUGCACAAUGGGCGGAAGCCUGAUGCAGCAACGCCGCGUGCGGGAUGACGGCCUUCGGGUUGUAAACCGCUUUCGCAUGUGACGAAGCGUGAGUGACGGUAAUGGGUAAAGAAGCACCGGCUAACUACGUG
rnacentral:rRNA from 1 species